rnacentral:rRNA from 1 species
UACGAAGGGGGCGAGCGUUGUUCGGAUUUACUGGGCGUAAAGGGCGCGCAGGCGGCUCAUUUUGUCAGGCGUGAAAGCCCCGGGCUUAACCUGGGAACUGCGUUUGAUACGGAUGGGCUAGAGUUCGGGAGAGGAGAGUGGAGUUCCCAGUGUAGAGGUGAAAUUCGUAGAUAUUGGGAAGAACACCGGUGGCGAAGGCGGCGAGCUGGUCCAUUACUGACGCUGAGGCGCGACAGCGUGGGGAGCAAACAGG